rnacentral:rRNA from 1 species
CAAUAGCGUAUAUUAAAGUUGUUGCAGUUAAAAAGCUCGUAGUUGAAUUUCUGGCGGGCGCGCCGGUCUUCCAAGUGUUGCACUGGGCGCAGUCCGCCAUCCUUGUGGAGAGGGCUCGCAUUGAGUUGCGUGUCGGAUCUGCAUCAUUUACUGUGAAAAAAUUAGAGUGUUUAAAGCAGGCUGUCGCUUGAAUACAUUAGCAUGGAAUAAUAAGAUAGGACUUCGGUCUAUUUUGUUGGUUGCGAACCGAGGUAAUGAUUAAUAGGGAUAGUUGGGGGUAUUCAUAUUUAAUUGUCAGAGGUGAAAUUCUUGGAUUUAUGAAAGAUGAACAACUGCGAAAGCAUUUACCAAGGAUGUUUUCAUUAA